UUAAUUAAAAUGAGAAAAACUAGUGACUCAUAUUUGGAAUACUUUGAGGGUGCAGGGGAUGCGCCGGUGGAUUUUGUGCCGGAGCCGGCGGGGUUCUUGCCAAAGGUGAAGAGUCAGGAGGUGAGAGCCCGGGCUCUGGAGGUGCAUGCUUUGUGGAAGAAUUUGAGUACGAAAGUCUCUGAUGAGGUUGUGAAGCGGCCUGAGUUUCAUACUUUGCUUCCUCUGCCCAAGCCUGUCAUGAUUCCUGGAUCACGGUUUAGAGAGGUCAAUUACUGGAAAUCUUAUUCGAUAAUUAGGUUGCUAGUCUUAGAGGAUCUAUAAGUAGCUUUCAAGAGCAAGCAAGUUGCAAAAUUAAAGUUCCUUCGGUGGCAGUACCAUACAAGCUUUCUCAGCCUUUUACCCUGAAAAUGUGUCCUUCUAGUCCACUUAAGGUUGCUGGUUAUGGGAUUAUUUAAGAAGUGGAGCUUCUGGUUUUUUGUUUCCUCUUUCUGGUGGAGCAGAUAGCUCCUCGGUUGCUGCUAUAGUUGGCUGCAUGUGCCAGCUUGUCGUAAAAGAAAAAUAGCACAUGGAGAUGGACAAGUCAAAGCUGAUGCAAUUCGUAUUGGAAAUUAUACUGGUGGACAGUUUCCUACUGACAGCAGAGAAUUUGCAAAACGCAUAUUUUAUACAGUAUUUAUGGGAUCUGAAAACAGUUCUGAAGUCACAAAGUCACGAGCAAAGGUACUAGCAGAUGAGAUUGGCUCAUGGCAUCUUGAUGUUUUCAUAGAUGGGGUUGUUUCUGCACUUCUGUCUUUAUUUCAAAAACUUACAGGAAAGCGACCACGCUGUAAGGUAGAUGGUGGAUCUAACAUUGAGAACUUAGGUCUGCAGAACAUUCAAGCUCGAAUCAGAAUGGUGCUGGCUUUUAUGUUAGCGUCGCUCUUGCCAUGGGUGCACAACAAACCCGGAUUUUUUCUUGUUUUGGGUAGCUCCAAUGUGGAUGAAGGACUGCGUGGUUACCUAACAAAGGUAUCAUACAAUUUUAACUUAUGCUACAGGUUAGAUAUGCUUAGACAAGCUUCUUUAUAGCAGUGAAAAUUGUUAAGGGGUCAUCUUGAUCCAUGUCUGUCAGGUGUGGAUUUGUUCUUCUUUUUAAUAAAAAAGACACUAAAAGUUUUACACCAAUACAUUAUUGAACAUAGUAAUAACUCACAAAAAAAUUUACCAUCAUAAAACCUCUAAUUUUAAUUUAAUCCAUAUAAAUUAGAACAUGUUAAAAUCUUUGUCCCCCCUCCAGGUUUUAUAUAUUAUGUUGAAUUUUUAUUUUUAUUUUUAUUUUUUUUAUGGCUUGCUUAAGUUCUGGUUUCAACUUUGUGACUUGAACUCAAUAUUUGAUUUGAUUGGGUGAUUUCUCUAUUCUGUAUAAUGUUGAUUUGCCUAGAAUCUAUCAUAAUUAAAUCAUGUUAGAACUCAUACUGUUAUUGAUGAUCGAGAUCGGGUGAUACGGGGUCCGGUUCCGGCGAGCUCUAGCAGCAGCGGCGGCGGUGAGUUGCUGGCGUCGACAGGAGCAGGAGAGCUGCUUUUCUGUGAUCGUCAACCACUAGAAAAGAAGAAGCUUGGAGAUUUGUAUGUAGACAAAUGCUGUGAGAGUCUCUAUAUUUGAUGCUGAGAAAUCAGAAGGCUCUUUACUUGAAGCUUGAUUUCAAAUGAAAUAGUGUAGACAGAUUAAUUAAGUUUGAGAAUUAAUGUAACCCUAUUAAGUUCGUACUUUAUAAACCUCUUCACAUUCCUUUUUUAGCUAUAGCUUUAAAAUGAUAGAUAUAAAUCUUUUUAAUUACUUCAACUAAUUAGUUUUUGAGUUUACUUCAUGCAUUGAAUAUAUAAGUCUUUAAGGGGACCUGACUACAUUCCGUGUAAUAAGAUUGUGCCCCUCUGUGCUUAUUAAUGAUAUGCAUUACUUAUCCAAAAAAAAUAUGAUCAA